rnacentral:rRNA from 1 species
ACGCUGGCGGCAGGCCUAACACAUGCAAGUCGAGCGGUAGAGAGAAGCUUGCUUCUCUUGAGAGCGGCGGACGGGUGAGUAAUGCCUAGGAAUCUGCCUGGUAGUGGGGGAUAACGUUCGGAAACGGACGCUAAUACCGCAUACGUCCUACGGGAGAAAGCAGGGGACCUUCGGGCCUUGCGCUAUCAGAUGAGCCUAGGUCGGAUUAGCUAGUUGGUGAGGUAAUGGCUCACCAAGGCGACGAUCCGUAACUGGUCUGAGAGGAUGAUCAGUCAGACUGGAACUGAGACACGGUCCAGACUCCUACGGGAGGCAGCAGUGGGGAAUAUUGGACAAUGGGCGAAAGCCUGAUCCAGCCAUGCCGCGUGUGUGAAGAAGGUCUUCGGAUUGUAAAGCACUUUAAGUUGGGAGGAAGGGUUGUAGAUUAAUACUCUGCAAUUUUGACGUUACCGACAGAAUAAGCACCGGCUAACUCUGUGCCAGCAGCCGCGGUAAUACAGAGGGUGCAAGCGUUAAUCGGAAUUACUGGGCGUAAAGCGCGCGUAGGUGGUUUGUUAAGUUGGAUGUGAAAUCCCCGGGCUCAACCUGGGAACUGCAUUCAAAACUGACUGACUAGAGUAUGGUAGAGGGUGGUGGAAUUUCCUGUGUAGCGGUGAAAUGCGUAGAUAUAGGAAGGAACACCAGUGGCGAAGGCGACCACCUGGACUAAUACUGACACUGAGGUGCGAAAGCGUGGGGAGCA